rnacentral:sRNA from 2 species
AAUAAAGGAUGUUCGACUAAAACCACCACAUCCUGUGGCAACGUCGAACUACCCCACGUCCUGUGGG